ACCCUUACUACAUUUUUGCAGGGGACUGUGCGUGCAAAUCGUUAAUCUUCAAACUGAGAAGAAAUAGGGUCUGUUCUUCUGCAGUCUGACCAGCAUCAAGUGCUCCAGGAUAUCUGUUCUUCAGAAAGCAUGAGUGAUCUGAGUAAUGCAGAACUUGCUUUUUCCUGGGAUAAUCCAUAGAGAUGGAUAUUGGGCAAGGAAAAUGCAGAAGGAAGCCAGGAUCAUGGGACCUCAUUGGACAAGCAGGAGCUUCUUCCCUAGACCCUGUUUGUUAUAUACGAACAUGGAUGUGU